rnacentral:rRNA from 1 species
GACGAACGCUGGCGGCGUGCUUAACACAUGCAAGUCGAACGGAAAGGCCUGCUUUCCCUUGUGGAUUGCGGGUACUCGAGUGGCGAACGGGUGAGUAACACGUGAGUGGUCUGCCCCCAACUUGGGUAUAAGCCUGGGAAACUGGGUCUAAUUCCCGAUAGGACUGCAGGGUGGUGCCUGUGGUGGAAAACGAUUUUCUAGUGGUUGGGGAUGAGCUCGCGGCCUAUCAGCUUGUUGGUGGGGUAAUGGCCUACCAAGGCGGCGACGGGUAGCCGGCCUGGGAGGGUGGACGGCCACAUUGGGACUGAGAUACGGCCCAGACUCCUACGGGAGGCAGCAGUGGGGAAUAUUGCACAAUGGGCGGAAGCCUGAUGCAGCGACGCCGCGUGGGGGAUGACGGCCUUCGGGUUGUAAACUCCUUUCGACCGCGAGGAAGCCACCUGGUUGGAAGGGUGGUGACGGUAGUGGUAGAAGAAGCACCGGCUAACUACGUG